rnacentral:snRNA from 1 species
AUCGCUUCUUUGGCUAAGAGCAAGUAUGGUCUCUAUUCUUAUCAG